GAUGAACGCUGGCGGCGUGCCUAAUACAUGCAAGUCGAGCGAACAGACGAGGAGCUUGCUCCUCUGACGUUAGCGGCGGACGGGUGAGUAACACGUGGAUAACCUACCUAUAAGACUGGGAUAACUUCGGGAAACCGUAGCUAAUACCGGAUAAUAUAUUGAACCGCAUGGUUCAAUAGUGAAAGACGGUUUUGCUGUCACUUAUAGAUGGAUCCGCGCCGCAUUAGCUAGUUGGUAAGGUAACGGCUUACCAAGGCGACGAUGCGUAGCCGACCUGAGAGGGUGAUCGGCCACACUGGAACUGAGACACGGUCCAGACUCCUACGGGAGGCAGCAGUAGGGAAUCUUCCGCAAUGGGCGAAAGCCUGACGGAGCAACGCCGCGUGAGUGAUGAAGGUCUUCGGAUCGUAAAACUCUGUUAUUAGGGAAGAACAAAUGUGUAAGUAACUAUGCACGUCUUGACGGUACCUAAUCAGAAAGCCACGGCUAACUAAGUG
rnacentral:rRNA from 1 species